rnacentral:misc_RNA from 1 species
AGAAAAUAUGGGAAAUGAAAAGAUUAUAUCGUGUUAUAAUCUAAGAACCGUACCUAAGGUGUGGAUGGCGAAGGUUUUACAGUUCUCUUCGUGGUUGCUUUGCCUUUACUGCAAAGCAAAUACAUAUAGAGAAAUGGGACCAGAGCUGAUGAUAUGUCGGAAGGGAGGAUCCAGUUUGCGCGAAACGUGUCUGUGGUUAAUCAGAGCUUUCCAGGUCAGAUACGCAACGCCUGUUAAACAUUAAAUAAAUGAUACGAUUUUAUUUUCUGUCGUUUAAGUGCUUCUUUGAUAAGUAAACAAAAUAGAUGCCAGACAAAUUCGAAUUUAAACGACUCCAUCUCCAUCACGAAAAUAAUAUAUACGAUUAAUAAAUAAUUAAUCUAUAGUAUCAAUAACAUUAAACAUUAUUAUUUAUCACACAUAUUAGUAAUAAUAAUAUUGUCAUUAUAUAUGUCGUUAGUUUUUGAAAACACGGUGUAAGGAAUUUUGUAUACACAAUGUAUCCAUAUUUCCUAAUAAAAAAACAAUAUGGCCGCUAUUUGAAUAACCUAUAGCCCUACAGCUCACCUCGAAGUGUACUCUACGUAUACUCAAGUGUGUCUUAACGCAAUGUGUAUUCUUUUACGCGUUUUCCAUAGAAUAUUGUGGCGCCAAUGUGGGUACACAAGUAUCUACACUCGAUUGUUUCUCUCGAAUAUUUUCUUUCGAAAAGAGAAAGCUGACCCUUUCAAAAAGAGUUCUCAACUCCCGCCGUUACCUUAUACCUUUCUGGGUUACCGGAUCCGUGAAUGAGAA